AUUGAACGCUGGCGGCAGGCCUAACACAUGCAAGUCGAACGAGUGGCGGACGGGUGAGUAAUGUGUGGGAAACUGCCUGAUGGAGGGGGAUAACUACUGGAAACGGUAGCUAAUACCGCAUACCAUCAGAUGUGCCCAGAUGGGAUUAGCGAGUUGGUGGGGUAACGGCUCACCAAGGCGACGAUCCCUAGCUGGUCUGAGAGGAUGACCGGCACCACUGGAACGGAGACACGGCCCAGACUCCUACGGGAGGCAGCAGUGGGGAAUUUUGGACAAUGGGCGAAAGCCUGAGGCAGCCAUGCCGCGUGUAUGAAGAAGGCUUUCGGUUUGUAAAGUACUUUCAGCGGGGAGGCGUUACCCGCAGAAGAAGCCCCGGCUAACUCCGUGCCAGCAGCCGCGGUAAUUC
rnacentral:rRNA from 1 species